AGCAUGGGUGGCAGAGACCUCAUGUGGCUUGGAGGGAAUCUUUAUUUCUCAAGGGGAUAAAAAUAAAAUUGCAGCUUAAUUUGUUACUGUGAUAU